UAAAAUUAAAAUUCUCAAGGCAAGAUGUAUUAGUUAAUUAAGCCUUAAUAUUUGGGACUUCACACUACAACAAAAUUAGGUUAUAGGGACACAUGUCUGGAACACUUUUGAGUAAGUGUCUGUAAGGACUGAGAUUUUUACAGUGCAACUAAACUCUCUGUUGAUGAUAUUUAUGUGUGUAAUUUAAUUAUAUAAGCACUCGUCAAGUUUCAGGAGAAAAUGAGCUAAAAUGGAGAAGUUACGCGAUUAUUAGUUUUCACUUAACUGAAUAGUAACUCCAGUUUUCCGGAGAAGCCACGGAGUAGAGUUGGCUUUCGGCGCGUAUCGGACUCCGUUCAUAGUGAUCCAAUAGCUCGUUUUGAAC
rnacentral:lncRNA from 1 species